CCUACGGGUGGCUGCAGUGGGGAAUAUUGGACAAUGGGCGAAAGCCUGAUCCAGCAAUGCCGCGUGAGUGAUGAAGGCCUUAGGGUUGUAAAGCUCUUUUACCAGGGAUGAUAAUGACAGUACCUGGAGAAUAAGCUCCGGCUAACUCCGUGCCAGCAGCCGCGGUAAUACGGAGGGAGCUAGCGUUGUUCGGAAUUACUGGGCGUAAAGCGCACGUAGGCGGCCAUUCAAGUCAGAGGUGAAAGCCCGGGGCUCAACCCCGGAACUGCCUUUGAAACUAGAUGGCUUGAAUCUUGGAGAGGCGAGUGGAAUUCCGAGUGUAGAGGUGAAAUUCGUAGAUAUUCGGAAGAACACCAGUGGCGAAGGCGACUCGCUGGACAAGUAUUGACGCUGAGGUGCGAAAGCGUGGGGAGCAAACAGGAUUAGAUACCCCGGUAGUC
rnacentral:rRNA from 1 species